rnacentral:lncRNA from 10 species
AGUCCCUCCCCAUGAAGGGACCUAGGUUCUUUGUAUCCUCUCCUGUAGUCCUGGGCCAAUAACUGACUGCUUUAUGGAAAACACACACACACAAAACAAACAAACAAACAAAGAAACCACCUUGCAUUCAUGCCCCAAGACUGAGCAGACCCUGUGGUACAGUUUAUUCCCCAGAGGCCCCAUGGGAUCAAGCUGAAGCCCAGCUGCAUCGGAGACCACAUCCUUUUUCAUUUUUCUUUCCUCCCUUCCCAAUAUGGCUCCCACCGACCCCUACAUGUUUCUUGUGAGUGCACUCCAUUGAUAAAUGUCUUGCACAAACAUCCCCUUCUCAGGUUCUGCUCCAGGGAACUGUACCCAAGACACUACCAGCAUCUGUCCCUCAAUGCCACACACCUGUCAUCCCACACAUCAAAAGGAAUCCCACGUAAUAGGAUACAAGCACAACUGCAAACACACUCACUGCCCCCGCCCCCUCCAACAAGGAGACAAAUGAAAAGUCCAUCACUCAUCCAGAGAAGACUUUUUAGAGCCACUGUUCUUGGAGCCUGUUACCUCUGGAAACUGUUUGGAAACAGGCAAGGUGGAG